UACGUAGGGUGCGAGCGUUGUCCGGAAUUAUUGGGCGUAAAGAGCUCGUAGGCGGUCUGUCGCGUCGGUCGUGAAAACUUGGGGCUUAACCCUGAGCUUGCGGUCGAUACGGGCAUGACUGGAGUUCGGCAGGGGAGACUGGAAUUCCUGGUGUAGCGGUGAAAUGCGCAGAUAUCAGGAGGAACACCGGUGGCGAAGGCGGCGCUCUGGGCCGGAACUGACGCUGAGGAGCGAAAGCGUGGGUAGCAAACAGG
rnacentral:rRNA from 1 species